UGCUGCUUGACGGGGUGCCGGUGGAACCGGCUGAGAUCACCUUGUGUCGCCUGGCGAUACCACGGUGGAUCCCGAUGAACCUGAUCCGGCUAAUACCGGCGUAGGGAUCAAGCGAAGGGUCCAC
rnacentral:ncRNA from 1 species